rnacentral:rRNA from 1 species
CCAAGGAGUCUAACAUGUAUGCGAGUCAAGGGGUCCUACGAAACCCAGAGGCGCAGUGAAAGUGAAGGCUUCGUGUCGAGGUGAGAUCCCGCCGUUUCUCGCACAUGUCAGCAGUCCUGGCUCAGAGCGGCGGGCGCAUGACCGGCCCGUCCCAUGAUGUGGUCASUGGCUCGCUGUGCGCGUGGUGCCUCGUGUAUCGCGCGUGCAUGUCGGCGCUGUGCGUCAUCGGGGCGGAGCAAGAGCAUACAUGUUGAGACCCGAAAGAUGGUGAACUAUGCUUGCGUAGGUUGAAGCCAGAGGAAACUCUGGUGGAAGACCGCAGCGAUUCUGACGUGCAAAUCGAUCGUCAAACGUGAGUAUAGGGGCGAAAGACUAAUCGAACCAUCUA